GACGAACGCUGGCGGCGUGCUUAACACAUGCAAGUCGAACGGAAAGGCCCUUCGGGGUACUCGAGUGGCGAACGGGUGAGUAACACGUGAGUAACCUGCCCUUGGCUUUGGGAUAACCUUCGGAAACGGGGGCGUAAUACCGGAUAUUCCCGCAUGUCUGCAUGGGUGUGUGGGGAAAGUUUUUCGGUCUGGGGAUGGGCUCGCGGCCUAUCAGCUUGUUGGUGGGGUGAUGGCCUACCAAGGCGGUGACGGGAGCCGGCCUGAGAGGGCGACCGGCCACACUGGGACUGAGACACGGCCCAGACUCCUACGGGAGGCAGCAGUGGGGAAUCUUGCGCAAUGCGCGAAAGCGUGACGCAGCAACGCCGCGUGGGGGAAGAC
rnacentral:rRNA from 1 species